GUAUCCUGUGGAGAUAAGCAGAGCCCUGAAGUCAUCGGAGUCCAUGCUGCCUGUCUGCUUCUGCUCCGAGGACGCAGGCAUAGCAGAGGAGGCCGGGCCCAGAGUAGGCAAGAGGGGCCGCCCCAUGUGCACAGCAGGCAGACAGGACAGUGGCGGGGAGCAGGGAGACAGCGGCCCCAAGAGACCAGACUAGCAUUUGAGCAAAAUAAAUGCAGCUGUGAGAAGCAGAAGGCUGGAACAGAGCCUGGAGGAAAGACCCAUGCAAGGACAGAAAAUCUCAGGGCCUGACUGAAUUUUUGGGUUGUGAUUUUUUUAAACAAACACCAACCACCUCGACUGUGGCAUGCAAGGCUUGGCACCCCUCAUCGCAGAGGUCCUGGGCCGGGGCAGAGCCUUGGAACUCAGCACACACAUUCUGGCCCGGAGUCU